UGUUUUAAACUUAAUUUUUAAGCUAAUAUUAACUAAAUUAAUUUUUUUAAUAAUUUAUUUUUAACUUAUCGGUGUUAAAAUAAAAUGAGCAAACUUAAUUUUUUUUUCCUCCCCAAUAGACUAUAUUGAACCAGGGGGAACCGCGUUAGCAUUAUUUCCCCCUGCUCGGUCUAUAUUUCAAAGCGAAGUCACUAGCCAUGAGGCAAGGCAGCCCAAUCAAGCAGCUACGAUGUUUUGUUGCUAACGCCUAGUUGUCGGAUAUGUAGCUUGCCUCGCUCUCUCAUCUUCCUCGUCAUGAUAACCUUCGUAGUCUUUUUUUGAAGUCAAGAGUAAGCUUUACAAAUUUAAAAAGCCGUGGAAGUCUCGUCAAUUUAUUAUUCUGUUUGCCGGGGGUGCAUUAUCCAUCAAUAUAUAGCUGGUUCUUUACAAUUAUUAUGAAAACGACUUGAAAAAUCAAAAAAUGAUUUCCACAAAACAAUAACUAGUUCCGAAAUGAUACAAAAAAGUUCUCAAUAAAGUUAUUUUUUAAUUAAAUCAAGAUUAAUGUUAUAAAAAAGUUAUCAUAAAUCACUAUUUCUUAGUAUAUUUAUUCAAGAAAAUUAUCCAAAAGUUCCGUUAAAAUGUAUUUACCGCACGAAAGAAAUCAUUAAUAUAAAAGUUACAUUUUAUGUAUUUAAUUUUAAUUUUU